GGGUGUAUAGCUCAGCUGGUUAGAGCGUUCCGUUCACAUCGGAGAGGUCUCCUGUUCAAAUCAGGAUACACCCACUA
rnacentral:tRNA from 1 species